GACGAACGCUGGCGGCGUGCUUAACACAGAAUGAAGAAACGAGUGGCGAACGGGUGAGUAACGCGUAAUCAACCUGCCCUUCAGAGGGGGACAACAGUUGGAAACGACUGCUAAUACCUAAUCCGGUGAGAGAGCUUUGCGUCCCAUUAGCUAGUUGGGGAGGUAACGGCUCACCAAGGCGAUGAUGGGUAGCCGGCCUGAGAGGGGGAUCGGCCACAAGGGGACUGAGACACGGCCCUUACUGCUACGGGAGGAAGGAGUGGGGAAUAGUGGACAAUGGACCAAAGUCUGAUCAAGGAAUUCGGGGUGUACGAUGAAGUUUUCGGAAUGUAAAGUGCUUUCAGUUGGGAAGCGGUACCAACAGAAGAAGUGACGGCUAAAUACGUGCCAGCCGCCGCGGUAAUAC
rnacentral:rRNA from 1 species